UACAGAGGUCUCAAGCGUUGUUCGGAUUCAUUGGGCGUAAAGGGUGCGUAGGUGGCAUGGUAAGUCGGAUGUGAAAUCCCGGGGCUCAACCCCGGAACUGCAUUCGAUACUGCUGCGCUAGAGUACUGGAGAGGAGAUUGGAAUUUACGGUGUAGCAGUGAAAUGCGUAGAUAUCGUAAGGAAGACCAGUGGCGAAGGCGGAUCUCUGGACAGUUACUGACACUGAGCACGAAGGCCAGGGGAGCAAACGGG
rnacentral:rRNA from 1 species